rnacentral:rRNA from 1 species
UGGGGAAUUUUCCGCAAUGGGCGCAAGCCUGACGGAGCAAUACCGCGUGAGGGAGGAAGGCUUUUGGGUUGUAAACCUCUUUUCUCAAGGGAGAAGCACUGACGGUACUUGAGGAAUCAGCAUCGGCUAACUCCGUGCCAGCAGCCGCGGUAAGACGGAGGGGGCAAGCGUUGUCCGGACUCACUGGGCGUAAAGGGCGCGCAGGCGGUCCUAUGCGUCGGCGCUGAAAGCGCCCGGCUUAACCGGGCGAGGUGCGUCGAUACGAUAGGACUAGAGGCAGUAUGAGGCUGGCGGAAUUCCGGGUGUAGUGGUGAAAUGCGUAGAGAUCCGGAGGAACGCCCGUGGCGUAAGCGGCUAGCUAAUACUGUCCUGACGCUGAGGCGCGAAAGCGUGGGGAGCGAACCGGAUUAGAUACCCGUGUAGUCC